AUCCAGCUGAGGAGUCUCAAAUAAGACGAAACGCAGUUUGUCCUGGAU
rfam:Schistosoma margrebowiei strain Zambia genome assembly, scaffold: SMRZ_scaffold0000240